AACUCCAGGCUCUAUGUGCUGUAGAGAACCUGAAGGUCUGGUGCCCAGGUCUAGGCUAAUCUUGGUAGUAAGAGGGCUAUCCCAGGGCAGGUUGAUUGGGUGGUAGUGACAAGAAAGUGAAUUUCCUUGACCACUGCUGAGGAGGAGGAGGAUAACGCACACAGUACGGUAGUGAGUUCAGAGUGUCCGUAUUUGGAGAGAAUUUUCUCUAACUUUGAAUGUUUUAUUCUUCCUACAGAAAAUAGGUUGAUUUUGUCUCCUUUGCUUGAUGAUUAAGAGGAUAGUCGCAUUGCCAUUUAAAAGAAGAGUUUUACAUGAACCAGCAGAUAAGUUGUGAAGCAAGAAAUAAACAAGUUAAUGUGUUAAGAGCCAUUGACAUUUGAAUUUGAAGAUCAUCAGAAGUGAAGAUAAAACAUCUCAAAAAUUAUAAU